UACGAGAGGCCCAAACGUUAUUCGGAUUUACUGGGCUUAAAGAGUUCGUAGGCGGCGCAGAAAGUAGGGUGUGAAAGCCCUCGGCCUAACCGAGGAAUUGCGCUCUAAACUACUGUGCUUGAGGAAUCUAGAGGUGAGCGGAACUGAUGGUGGAGCGGUGAAAUGCGUUGAUAUCAUCAGGAACACCGGAGGCGAAGGCGGCUCACUGGGGAUUUUCUGACGCUGAGAAACGAAAGCCAGGGGAGCAAACGGG
rnacentral:rRNA from 1 species